rnacentral:rRNA from 1 species
GCUUGUCUCAAAGAUUAAGCCAUGCAUGUCUAAGUACAAGCCUAACUAAGGUGAAACCGCGAAUGGCUCAUUAAAUCACACUUCAUCUACUGGAACGUUAUCUAAUUACUUGGAUAACUGAGGUAAUUCUUGAGCUAAUACAUGCGAAAAAUCCCGACGCAAGGAGGGAUGCUUUUAUUAGAUCAAAACCAAACUUCUACGGAAGUAAUACUGGUGACUCUGAAUAACUUUGGGCUGAUCGCAUUGCCUUGUGCAGGCGACGUUUCCUUCGAAAGUGUGCCCUAUCAACUGUCGACUGUGAUAUAGACGCUCACAGUGGUUUUGACGGGUAACGGGGGAUCAGGGUUCGAUUCCGGAGAGGGAGCCUUAAAAACGGCUACCACAUCCAAGGAAGGCAGCAGG